rnacentral:rRNA from 1 species
AUUGAACGCUGGCGGUAUGCUUAACACAUGCAAGUCGAACGGAAACGAUACUAGCUUGCUAGUAGGCGUCGAGUGGCGGACGGGUGAGUAACGCGUAGGAAUCUACCUGAUAGUGGGGGAUAGCCCGAAGAAAUUCGGAUUAAUACCGCAUAAUCUAUUCGUAGUAAAGUGGGGGACUUUCGAGCCUCACGCUAUCAGAUGAGCCUGCGUAAGAUUAGCUAGUUGGUAGGGUAAAAGCCUACCAAGG